UAUAUACAUGUAUUUCAAAUCAUUGUUUCCAUGCUGUCAAAAUACAUUGGAUCCUACCAUUUGAAAAAGAUCAGUAAUGUAGAUUGGUAUUUGUGCCCAUGAACUGUGAUUUUGUUAAUGAUUUUCAUCUACCAUGUUUCAAUCAACUGUCCAAUAUAUGCCAUUGUAGAACAGACAUUUGAGAAUUUCCACCCUCUAUGUUUUAGUCAACUGUCUAAACAUUGUUAUUGUAGAACAGACAUUUAUUUGAAAAUUUUUGUCGAACCUUCAUUAGAAUACAUGUACUCUUUGCUUUCCUUGCUAGUGUAUUACACCUGUACACUCUAAUUCCAUUUCAUUUUACACGGUGAAUGCAUGUUCUACUUUGAUUGAGGUACUGUAAAUUCCUUAUUUUACAUGAGUACUUAAUUCCACGAUUCCGCUGUUUGUAUCAAAUCGCAAAAUUAUAAAAUUGCGAUCACAAAUUUUUUGUUACAUAUUCCUACAGUUCAAACUGUCUGAAAAAUAAAAGCAAGAUUUUUAAAUCCGCGAGAGAUGCUUCUCCCAAUUUAAUGCGGAAAUUAAUUCCUUGCGUUUAAUUAGGAAUCUACAGUAACUAAUUAAUAUUUGUGUGUUAGAGAUGCUUUGAAAGUUGCAAUGUGUAACUUGUCAUUCAUCUUAUCUUUAGAUGUUUUAAUUUUGCCAAAUAAAUGUGCAAAAAAAUAGAUUUAGGAUCUUAGCACUAUGUGUGACAUGCUUGAAGUUUAUAUAAAGUUGCUUGGAAAUGCAUGCAACUCCUGACCGAAAUUCAUUCUAUUGUGAUCAAUUGUGAUUUUUAUGCUUGACAGGAAAUUUAUUUUCUGCAAAUGAACCAGUGCCAUUAUCAAUGCAAACAAUUAUAAAUAGUAUUUGAAUUUUUAUAUACAUGUAGUCAAUAUUCUUGAAAGAUUCAAGAUAUAAAUUGUGCUGUUGAUGAAUAGACAUAUAUUUUUGUAAAAAACUGUAUUUAACAAAUGGAUCAAAUGCUAUUUUUAGGAAAUAAAUAUUAACCACAC
rnacentral:misc_RNA from 1 species